UACGAAGGGGGCUAGCGUUGCUCGGAUUCACUGGGCGUAAAGGGUGCGUAGGUGGUGAGGUAAGUCGGAUGUGAAAUCUCCGAGCUCAACUCGGAAAUGGCAUUGGAAACUACCUUGCUCGAGGGUUGGAGGGGGGACUGGAAUACUUGGUGUAGCAGUGAAAUGCGUAGAUAUCAAGUGGAACACCAGUGGCGAAGGCGAGUCCCUGGACAACUACUGACACUGAGGCACGAAAGCUAGGGGAGCAAACAGG
rnacentral:rRNA from 1 species